GGUGGAGUAUGCAGGGGAGGAGGACAGAAGAGGAGCUGGGGAGAUGGCAGGUGGUACCUGUUAGUGCGAAUGUGUCAUAGCUUUGAUUUCCUGCCCCCACCGCACCAUUCCCUCUGACCUCAGCAUUGGAUUUUGUUUCCUCUCCUGGGCUGUAACUCCCAGGGUGCGGCCCUUCCCCCAUACUCCUGCUGUCCCAAGCCCCAGAUGUCCGUCCACAUUCUGCACCCUCACCCUGAGUUCCUGAUAGAUACCUAAAAUCUCUCGGGCGAGCCCUGCUCUUAGGUCCCCUCCCGUCCAAGUCUCCGAGCGUUCGGGUCUCGCCGCCCCGCCAGUUCUCGACAUUGCUCCUAGAGCCCGGAGGGGCAGGACGCUCCGCACCCCGCUCUGCCGGGGACACCGAGGCUCCCCACUCACUCACUCCUCCCUGCCCGCAAGCCGGGGAGUCUCUGCAGCUGGUGCGGAGUGACACCGAGGGGACGGUCCUACUCUUCACCAGGUGGAACCCGUGCGUUGGAGCCGGAGGCAGGAUGCUCCGGGGGUGUGGAUGACCUGCGGUCCAGCCCUAGUAUUGCCGGAGGAGGUUCGCAUGCCGCCGCCCCGCAAGACCCGCUCCCGGAGGGCCGCCUGGGGCCCGGCGCGCACAGUGUCCUGACCCGGCCUGGCCACCCGGGCGCUGGGGCGGCGCAGGGGUGAGCUCCCCGAGGCCGCGGAGCAAGCCAGGGCCCCGGGGCACGGCGCUUCGCGGCGGCUCGGAACCAUUUUCCCCAAGCGGCUCGGCAAAAUGACCAGCCUGUUCCGCCGGAGCAGCAGCGGCAGCGGCGGGAGCGGCGCCGCCGGGGCACGUGGAGCCGGGACCGGGACCGGGACAGGGGCCGGGGAUGGCGGCGCCGCCCCGCAGGAACUCAACAACAGCCGGCCAGCUCGCCAGGUGCGACGCCUCGAGUUCAACCAGGCCAUGGACGACUUCAAAACCAUGUUCCCCAACAUGGAUUACGACAUCAUCGAGUGUGUGCUGCGCGCCAACAGCGGCGCGGUGGAUGCCACCAUUGACCAGCUCUUGCAGAUGAACCUGGAGGCUGGAAGCGGUAGCGCCUAUGAGGACAGUUCGGACUCCGAGGACAGCAUCCCACCGGAGAUCUUGGAAAGGACUUUAGAACCUGACAGUUCCGAUGAAGAGCCCCCGCCUGUGUACUCGCCGCCAGCCUACCACAUGCACGUGUUUGAUAGGCCUUAUCCUCUGGCUCCCCCGACUCCACCUCCCAGGACUGAUGUCCUGAGCUCUGGACCCCUUGCAAACCAGAGGCGCUAUCGGAACUGGAACCCACCCCUGCUGGGCAAGCUCCCUGAUGACUUUCUCCGCAUCCUGCCCCAGCAGCUGGACAGCAUACAGGGUAACCCCAGGAGUUCCAAGCCUCUGAGUGGAGAGGGAGGCCCACCUCCUGCACCGGGGCCCGUGACCCCCGAACAGGACAGCCGCUGGAAGCAAUACCUAGAGGACGAGAGGAUCGCACUCUUUCUGCAGAAUGAGGAGUUCAUGAAGGAACUGCAGCGCAACCGUGACUUUCUCCUUGCUCUGGAGAGAGAUCGAUUGAAGUAUGAGUCCCAGAAAUCCAAAUCCAGCAGUGUGGCUGUCGGAAAUGACUUUGGCUUUUCCUCCUCUGUCCCAGGAACGAGCGAGCCCAACCCUGCCGUGUCCGAAGAUGCCUUAUUCAGGGACAAGUUAAAACACAUGGGAAAAUCCACCCGGAGGAAGCUAUUUGAACUGGCCCGGGCCUUCUCAGAGAAGACCAAAAUGAGGAAGUCAAAGAGGAAGCACUUGCCGAAGCAUCAGUCGUAUCCUUCCGCCUGGCACUGGGUGGGGUGGUGGAUGCCAAGGGCCGGGAUCAAGACCCCAACUGGAUUUACUAAUGUUCGAGUGGAACCCAGUUCUGCUCCCUCCACUCUGUUCUGUGAGACUAGCCUGCCAGCCCAUCCUCUCUAGGAACACCAGAGACCAGGCAUGGGGAGUGGGAAGUAAAAUUGUCCUUACAACGGUUUUCUUUUUUUUUUUUUUGGUCUGGGAUAAUCUGCAUCUUGGGAGAAAAAUUUGUCCUUCCAUUGAAAUUAGCAAAAUUUCCCCUAAUGGCCCUAGUUGAACUGGUCCAUGGGUCUUCUGCAGCCUUAUGUCGAGGUCUGCCUUCCCCUUUCAGUUCCUUGUACAAAGACAGUUUUCCACACUUGUGCCCAAACCCCAUCUGUGCUUGUCCAACAGGGACAAGGCUGUUAAAAAGCUGAACAGCCAAAGGGAGAAAGUCACUCUCCUGUCCCCAGAGAUAGGGAAAAAUGAAGGGGUUAGGGCCUGGCUGCUUAACUGUCCCCAAGAAAGGAGCCUGGCUGAGCUUGGGAGACAGAAGUGGGACAGGCUGUGACAGUGCCUGUUCAUCUCUGGCACAGUUUUCCUGAAUGGCUGUGUAGGCUAGGGGCUGCAGCAUCAACAGCCAACCUCCUGGACGACGUAGAGGGCCAUGCUUGUGGUGAGGCAGGGAGGGGACCCUGAGUUCCAGCUUGCCUGUGGGUGACCCUCCAAGGGGAAGUCCUAGGUGUUUUGUGUCAGGGAGAGGGCACCCAACUAGGGGGCCAUACCAAUGGUUGAUGGGAUAGGCAACCCAAAGAAAUUUGGACUUUCCUCACUUGGUGCCCAGUUCCUGCCCUUUCUUGCAGUACCCAAAAGGGGGCUGAGCCCCACCUCCACUCAGAUCUCUACCUGUAGCACAGAGGGCUAGGCACCAUUCCUGGGCAGUGUUCCCAGGCCUCCCACAUGCUGAGAAGCUUCAGUCUGAGGGCCCAGGGGCUUUCAACUUUCACCCAGUUCCUUCUAAAGGCCACUGAGGCCAGAAGACUCAGCCUUACACCUUACUAGAGGACACACAGCUGGGUCCUUCUAGGAUCAGAGGAAAUCCAAAAACAAGGACUAGAGGGUCUUGGAAGGCACCUGCAUAGCCCUACAUCCCCAUCCCACUUUAUAGAUAAGGAAAUUGAGGCCCAAACAAGACAGAAGAGCUUGUCCAAGGCCUCAGAGCUCAAUGAUGGAGCCAGGCCAGCACUCAGGUUCCAUUGCCUCUCUCACCAGACCUGUGCAUUGCCACCUGAGGAUCAGUAUGUACCCCCAUCAAAUGAAGGGGCGGAGUAAGUUGGGCAGCUCUUUUGUCCAGUCUGGGGACAUGCCUAAGUAAAGCCCUGCAGGGUGGAAGAUGAAGCAGCUUCCCUCUGCCUUUCAGAUGAAGACUCCCGGGGAAGGCGGCAGGAGGUGCCCAAGGUGGAGGAAACCCUAAGGGAAGGACAGUAAGAGCACCAGCAUCUUCCUUCACAGCAUCAGCAAUACUUCUGAGCAGUUGGCUCCAAUAUGCCAGCAGCUCCACCUCGCCAGAGAUGCUCUGACCCGGUGGGAGCAACCGGACAGCAACACCGGCACCAGCUGAAGGGCCCAGCUGCGCCGGGCAGAUGGUGCUUGCAUAUCUGGGCCCAGGUUCUCCGGCCACAGUCCAGCCCAACCACUGCCACUUUCCAGGACUUAGGACUUCAGAGUUGCCAUCUGGUGAUUGGAGGAGGAACCUGGGGCCCCUAGAGGCAGCAGCCAGUCACAUCCCCUUUUGUAGCCAGGCUUUUCUAGGGGCAAUGAGCAAUGAGCAGAAAUGCAGGAACCACCCCUCUCCCUUCUUAAAAAAAAAAAAAAAAAGUCCCAGAAAGAGGCAAAGGUUGGCGUUUGGGAAAAGGACAGGAUGAUCCUACCAGAAGCUCUUUGGCCUGAAAGAGGAACGCCUGCCUCCCAUCCCCCCUCUCCCAGUGGGCCAUAGACUGCCUGAAUUCACCCCAUCUCCAGCAUCCCCUGGACACCCCAUGCCCUUUCUUCCCAAGGUGUCCUGCAACUCGAUGUCCAUCCGUGCACCCACUCCUCACCCUCGCUGCUGACCCUUUUCUCAACCUGUCGCAGAGUUCCAGAAGGGAGAAUCUUGGGCACCACAAGCAGGAAUGUGCUGCGUGCCCUGUCGGGUUCAUUAGGCUGCUUGUUAGGAGCUGGGAGAGUCCCCAGCAGCCUCCAUUCACCCAGCAGGGAUGGGGAGGGCAGCUCCCUGGAGCUGGAGGACUCUGUUUAGAUAGGGUCUUUAGAAUGGCAGAAGACAAAAGCCAGUUGUGAGUUCGCACCACAUGGGGACUCUUGGGAGCACUGACUGUCUAGCUGGACUAGUCCUGCUGGCUUCUAAGGGUGGAGGACAGCGGGAGACUCAGGAGUGACCCCAUUGAGAAGUGCAGUGUCGAAGACAAAGGUGAAGAGGCUGCCAUCCCGGGUGGUAGCGCCAGGGAUAAGGGCUUGGUGGAUGCCCCUUGCGGAGAGUCAGGUGAUCUAAGGAGUAAAACUCUGAUUCUACGAACUCUUAACCCGCACCAACCACUGCCAAUGGGAGGAAGGCCAUGCGCGUCUCUUCCGCGGGAGCCUGACAUGGGAACGCGCUGACCUUUCCGGGAAGCCCGGAAUCCUGGGCAGGCACGGGAGCUCCCGGAGAGUGGGACCAGCCUAGCCUGGUCCAGUCCAGCUUCUCGGCGCGGGUUGGGGGCGGGGGGGGGGGCUGGUGGCAGCCACGGUCGGGGACAUAAUGGUUGCAUGACGGAAGCGAGACCGCAAUCGCGUCUACUUCUCCCAUUCCACGCACCCCCCCCCGCGGCCCCAUCCGGACUCUGGGCGGCCGAGCUGCCCCUGGCUUGGGAGAGCGGCGCGCGCGGCGGAGCGUGACCAAGUUUGGAAGCGUGCGCUGUGCUGGGGCUCUGGCGCCCUGCCGCCGGCUGAGAGAGGCCGGCCGCCCUCCACUGAUCUCAGGCCAGGCGGGUGGACCCUGCAGAGAGGGGGACUCCCCUGGGCCGCUAGCCGGGGCUCCAGACUGGUCUGACCCCGAGGGGCAAAGGAGAGGGCCUGGGCUAAGACCCUGGUCCCUCCCCGCGCCAGGGCCAGGCGCACGCGGGAAAACCCCAGUCCCAUGUCUGUGUGUUGCUUUGUUAAUUUUUUUUUUUUCCCCUUCCGAUGUGUGGGUUUUUUCUUGGAGCUGUUUCAUAGGAAUUCCUGUAAUAAAGACUUGGUGUUCUCUUGG